rnacentral:rRNA from 1 species
CUGAAACUCGCCUACAUGAAGCUGGAGUUGCUGUAAUCGCGAAUCAGCAUGUCGCGGUGGAAUACGUUCCCGGGCCUUGUACACACCGCCCGUCACACCAUGAGAGUUGGCAAUACCCAACGUACGUGAUCUAACCCGCAAGGGAGGAAGCGUCCUAAGGUAGGGUCAGCGAUUGGGGUGAAGUCGUAACAAGGUAAC